rnacentral:rRNA from 1 species
GUGGGGAAUAUUGCACAAUGGGCGAAAGCCUGAUGCAGCAACGCCGCGUGAGGGACGACGGCCUUCGGGUUGUAAACCUCUUUUAGUAGGGAAGAAGCGAAAGUGACGGUACCUGCAGAAAAAGCACCGGCUAACUACGUGCCAGCAGCCGCGGUAAUACGUAGGGUGCAAGCGUUAUCCGGAAUUAUUGGGCGUAAAGAGCUCGUAGGCGGUCUGUCGCGUCUGCUGUGAAAACUGGAGGCUCAACCUCCAGCCUGCAGUGGGUACGGGCAGACUAGAGUGCGGUAGGGGAGAUUGGAAUUCCUGGUGUAGCGGUGGAAUGCGCAGAUAUCAGGAGGAACACCGAUGGCGAAGGCAGAUCUCUGGGCCGUAACUGACGCUGAGGAGCGAAAGCGUGGGGAGCGAACAGGAUUAGAAACCCCGGUAGUCC